UACGUAGGGGGCUAGCGUUGUCCGGAAUCAUUGGGCGUAAAGAGCGCGUAGGCGGCCAGAUAAGUCCGGUGUGAAAGUCAAAGGCUCAACCUUUGAAUGCCGCUGGAAACUGUCUGGCUAGAGUCCGGGAGGGGCGAGUGGAAUUCCUGGUGUAGCGGUGAAAUGCGCAGAUAUCAGGAGGAACACCAAUGGCGAAGGCAAUCCCCUGGACCUGUACUGACGCUCAUGCACGAAAGCGUGGGGAGCAAACAGG
rnacentral:rRNA from 1 species